CUUCUGAAAGGAAGAUUAAUACAAGAUGGCAUCAUGAGUCCGCAUGUUCACAUGAUUAAAGGUAUUCCGGUAGACGAUGGGGAUGCGUUCCAUUAGAUAGUAGGCGGGGUAACGGCCCACCUAGUCUUCGAUGGAUAGGGGUUCUGAGAGGAAGGUCCCCCACAUUGGAACUGAGACACGGUCCAAACUCCUACGGGAGGCAGCAGUGAGGAAUAUUGGUCAAUGGGCGAGAGCCUGAACCAGCCAAGUAGCGUGAAGGAUGACUGCCCUAUGGGUUGUAAACUUCUUUUAUAAAGGAAUAAAGUCGGGUAUGGAUACCCGUUUGCAUGUACUUUAUGAAUAAGGAUCGGCUAACUCCGUGCCAGCAGCCGCGGUAAUACGGAGGAUCCGAGCGUUAUCCGGAUUUAUUGGGUUUAAAGGGAGCGUAGAUGGAUGUUUAAGUCAGUUGUGAAAGUUUGCGGCUCAACCGUAAAAUUGCAGUUGAUACUGGAUAUCUUGAGUGCAGUUGAGGCAGGCGGAAUUCGUGGUGU
rnacentral:rRNA from 1 species